rnacentral:rRNA from 1 species
GCAGUGGGGAAUAUUGCGCAAUGGGGGAAACCCUGACGCAGCGACGCCGCGUGAGCGAUGAAGGCCUUAGGGUUGUAAAGCUCUGUUUUAGGGGACGAAUGUCGAGAUGAGUAAUAUGCGUUUCGAAUGACGGUACCCUAAGAGGAAGCCCCGGCUAACUACGUGCCAGCAGCCGCGGUAAGACGUAGGGGGCGAGCGUUGUCCGGAAUUACUGGGCGUAAAGAGCACGUAGGCGGGACUUUAAGUCAGGUGUGAAAGACCGGGGCUCAACUCCGGGGUGGCACUUGAAACUGGAGUUCUUGAGGACAGGAGAGGAAAGCAGAAUUCCUGGUGUAGCGGUGAAAUGCGUAGAAAUCAGGAGGAAUACCAGUGGCGAAGGCGGCUUUCUGGACUGACCCUGACGCUGAGGUGCGAAAGCGUGGGUAGCAAACAGGAUUAGAUACCCGAGUAGUCC